rnacentral:rRNA from 1 species
AGUGAACGCUGGCGGUAGGCCUAACACAUGCAAGUCGAGCGGGGUGAUGGUGCUUGCACUAUCACUUAGCGGCGGACGGGUGAGUAAUGCUUAGGAAUCUGCCUAUUAGUGGGGGACAACAUCUCGAAAGGGAUGCUAAUACCGCAUACGUCCUACGGGAGAAAGCAGGGGAUCACUUGUGACCUUGCGCUAAUAGAUGAGCCUAAGUCGGAUUAGCUAGUUGGUGGGGUAAAGGCCUACCAAGGCGACGAUCUGUAGCGGGUCUGAGAGGAUGAUCCGCCACACUGGGACUGAGACACGGCCCAGACUCCUACGGGAGGCAGCAGUGGGGAAUAUUGGACAAUGGGGGGAACCCUGAUCCAGCCAUGCCGCGUGUGUGAAGAAGGCCUUAUGGUUGUAAAGCACUUUAAGCGAGGAGGAGGCUCUUUUGGUUAAUACCCAAGAUGAGUGGACGUUACUCGCAGAAUAAGCACCGGCUAACUCUGUGCCAGCAGCCGCCGUAA